CCAUUGUCAGUAAGUGAGAAAGUUUGUUUUUGUCUAACCUCCUCCUUUUAUUUGACCAGUGCUGUUGGCUGCGUUCCAUGCCUGCUUGGCGCUGCUGUGAAUGACUGCAGAAGGCUGAGGGGAUCCAUCCCCUGUUGUCCAGUCCCAGCUUCUGGCAGCCAGAGAUUUAAGGAUACCCAGAGCAUGGGGCUGUGUCCUUGACCACCUUGACUAAGAGCCAUUGAUGGACAUGCAGCCUGUGAAGCCGCGGCGGAUUCAGACAGAGUGAGCCAGGGCCGGGGGAAAGACGGACCACGAGGGCAGAGUGUUUUGCUUCCCCCUAUUGCGCAUGGCAAGAUUUCCGUGCUCCACUGGCAGGUGAGUAACGCUGGGAGAGGCAGUUCUCCAGAAAUCUGCUUGUUGUCAGAACUGGCUGUCACCACAUGCCAGAGUGCUGGGGCCUGGUUC